rnacentral:rRNA from 1 species
UACGUAGGUGGCGAGCGUUGUCCGGAUUUAUUGGGCGUAAAGCGCGCGCAGGCGGUCGCGUAAGUCUGCUGUGAAAUCUCCCUGGCUCAACCGGGAGGGGGCGGCGGAGACUGCGGGACUGGAGGGACCUAGAGGCCGGUGGAAUUCCCGGUGUAGUGGUGAAAUGCGUAGAGAUCGGGAGGAACACCGGUGGCGAAGGCGGCAUCCUGGACCGGCAUUGACGCUGAGGCGCGAAAGCCAGGGGAGCAAACGGG